AACGCAUAUUGCGCUCUCUGGUAUUCCGGAGAGCAUGCUUGUUUGAGUAUCAGUAAACACCUCAACUCCCCUUUCUUUUUUUGAAAUGGGAGCUGGACUUGAGUGAUCCCAACGCUUUUCUCACCGAAAAGUGGCGGGUUACUUGAAAUGCAGGUGCAGCUGGACUUUUCUCUGAGCUAAAAGCAUAUCUAUUUAGUCUGCCUAAAAAACAGAUUAUUACCUUUGCUGCAGCUAACAUAAAGGAGAUUAGUUCUUGUGCUGACUGAUGCAGGAUUCACAGAGACAGCUUCGGCUGGCCUUUGUAAACUCGAUCUCAAAUCAAGUAAGACUACCCGCUGAACUUAA
rnacentral:misc_RNA from 2 species